UACGAAGGGUGCAAGCGUUACUCGGAAUUAUUGGGCGUAAAGAGCUUGUAGGCGGUUUGUCGCGUCUGCCGUGAAAAUCCGGGGCUCAACCCCGGACUUGCGGUGGGUACGGGCAGACUAGAGUGUGGUAGGGGAGACUGGAAUUCCCGGUGUAGCGGUGAAAUGCGCAGAUAUCGGGAGGAACACCAAUGGCGAAGGCAGCUCGCUGGGACGGUACUGACGCUGAGACGCGAAAGCGUGGGGAGCAAACAGG
rnacentral:rRNA from 1 species